rnacentral:rRNA from 1 species
UACGGAGGGUGCAAGCGUUGUUCGGAAUUAUUGGGCGUAAAGCGCGUGUAGGCGGCUUUGCAAGUCGGGUGUGAAAUCCCUCAGCUUAACUGAGGAAGUGCGCCCGAAACUGCCGAGCUUGAGUACCGGAGAGGGUGGCGGAAUUCCCCAAGUAGAGGUGAAAUUCGUAGAUAUGGGGAGGAACACCGGGUGGCGAAGGCGGCCACCUGGACGGAUACUGACGCUGAGACGCGAAAGCGUGGGGAGCAAACAGG